GUGUUGGAACUCCCGCAAACAGUGCCGGUGGUGCAAAGAAGAAAUGGGAAACAUUACCAGACUGCCAGACACGCCCCAUUGAUAACAAAGGUCUGCCUGCUGCCGCUGUACACAAAACACUCAACCCAGAACCAAUCGAUGCCACAAAAUUGCCGCUAGCAGAAAAAAUUCGACGACUUUCAAUGUUUUUACGAAGUGAAAAAAAAGUAAUCAAUGAAAUUAUGUUGUUUGAGAAUUCUCUGAUGAGUUGUAAAGUUGGAAUUAGACCAGAUUUUUUGAUGUGGUGUGUUCCUAGCCAGAGCUAUCGGCAUCAACAAGAAAGAAAUCAAACUGUCAUGUUUCAAGAAGGCGGUGGAACUUUAUCGUACCCUUCCUGUCACUGAAAUUUUGAACCAGGAUGAUAUGACCCCAAAAGUUAUCAAGGAGAAACUGGAGAAUUUUAACUCGACCGUUGCUAAGAUGGAGAAAGAAACAAUUGCAGAGUUACCCCCACCAUCUAUUUUGAAACAGAUCCAAGAUAUUCUAACCAAUCCUAAAUAUGCUUCAACCAAUUCAGUCAGCAAAAUGGAGUUGGCGGCCUCUGUGGCUAAAUGUCGAGUCCGUUGUCGAUAUGAUGUAGAGAGUUGUAAAGCUGUAUCAGGGAAAGUUUAUCAUAAGGGAAUGUACUUUAUUGACAACAUACUACAAGGUGCAGGUGUUUCAGUUUCCAAAAAAACUGCUAAGUCAUUGUGUUAUAAUAUGGUGGUUGAACGACUGACCACCAUGAAUGUUGAACAUGGCAACAUCUUAGAUGGUGUCGAACAGUCUGUCAUAACAGAAGCAGAAGCACAGGUUCAGAGCACUUUGGUAAAGGCAGCACCAAAUCCUAGGGCAUUUGAUCUCCGUGAACAGUUUGUCAAAAUGAACGAACUUAGCAGUGCCACGCAUCCUGCAUCCAUCAUUACUGUCUUGGAUGGAAUUUUCAACGAUGUAAAAUUGACGCCCAUUUGUCUGUACCGUCGUAGCAUGAACACAGAAAUAGAAAAGGAGAAAAUUUUCUGUAACCUCUAUCUAGCUGGUCAUCUCAUCAUGAUUGGUGAAGCAGAGAACCGAACAGAUGCCCAAGCAGACGCUUACUCUAAAGCCCGAUAAGUUUCACGAACUGUGACCCCGAGUUCAUCCUCCCCCAACACAGUAAACUUCAACCACACGACCAAGCAGCAACAGAUGUUAUCGACUUUCGUGUCAAGGGCAACUGCAUUUUGGAAGAUAACUGUUCGAAUCUUCAUCGCUUACAAUGGACCCGAAAACCUAUAUCAACACUACCAGCCAAGGAUAUCGUUGUCUUUGAGGACGUCAGUUGGAUAGUAGAUCGUAAAGUUCAAGGUUUCUAUAUUUUACAACAUUCAUGUUUUGUCAACAAUAUGUUGUUGGAAUGGGAGUUUUUUUGACAAUGAUGAUCGUGUAUUCAGAUGUCAGAUGAAGAUACAAAAGGAAGAUGUUGGAACCGAACCUGCAGUGUCUCUUAGUAAGACAGGCUCUAGAAAUUUUGCAGCAGCUGAUAUCUUGUUUAAGCUCGAAGAAACACAACCAGUCAUAGAGGUUUCUGCUUACACUAAACCUGAUCAAGCGAUAGAAUCUGUCAGUUUUGAUACGUUGCUUAAAGAAGCGGAGGUGUUGAAGAAAGCUGCCGAGCAUGCAGGAGAAAACGUUACAGCUACUACAGCUGAGGGAACUGAUUCAGAAACUGAGACCAGUGACACAGAUGUUGAAAUGAAGGAAGAAGUAACAGAUUCACAGGCUAAGAAGAAAUAUCCUAGAAAACCACAUUACCGUCAUGCUGAUAGAUUUAUUUUAAAAGCUGCCCAGGCACGACUAGACGAAUUCAUAAAAGUUAAAAUGCUAAAAGAUCUACUGUUUGGACCUGCUUUCCCUCAUCAUAUCACACGCCAGAUUAACGGCUUACUGUAUAACCUCCCCGUUCCAGUUCGCUUUAUAAAUCAUUCCACUAGAAAUCAGAUGUACACCAUUGUAACGCAAAGUAUGUCACCGAUCAAAAUUGUCGCAUUUCUCAAAGCCAACGGUGGACAGUCUGGUCGCUUUCGUUUAGUCGACAAAUCAGAACUUCCGACACAUAAGGACAUUUUACCAGAACUUAAAAGUAGGGAAAUUUUAACUAAGAUCAAAUCCAAAUUUUAGUAGAAAUUUCAAUUUUGAUUGGCUAAGCACUAAAACCAAUCAAAUUGUUGGCUUUUUUUUGCUAAUAAAUAUAAGUGCUAGUCUAA